rnacentral:rRNA from 1 species
UGGGGAAUAUUGCACAAUGGGCGGAAGCCUGAUGCAGCGACGCCGCGUGAGGGAUGACGGCCUUCGGGUUGUAAACCUCUUUCAGUAGGGACGAAGCGUAAGUGACGGUACCUGCAGAAGAAGCACCGGCUAACUACGUGCCAGCAGCCGCGGUAAUACGUAGGUCCCGAGCGUUGUCCGGAUUUAUUGGGCGUAAAGCGAGCGCAGGCGGUUAGAAAAGUCUGAAGUGAAAGGCAGUGGCUCAACCAUUGUAGGCUUUGGAAACUGUUUAACUUGAGUGCAGAAGGGGAGAGUGGAAUUCCAUGUGUAGCGGUGAAAUGCGUAGAUAUAUGGAGGAACACCGGUGGCGAAAGCGGCUCUCUGGUCUGUAACUGACGCUGAGGCUCGAAAGCGUGGGGAGCGAACAGG